CUAUAAGUGAAUCUUUUCUUUAUUUUUUUAUAAAGAAGAAAAUAAUUUUGUCAACCUUCUUAGACUACAUCCAAUAUAUUUUAUAAAAUGUGCUAUAACAAGUCAUCCUAUAAAACUCCAUCUGACCAUGUUUUCUGCCAUCUCUUCCAACUACAUUAAAAAAAUAUAUUUUACAACAUAUAUGGUCAAUGAUAUAUCACAAAUGAUACAAGAUACUUAUGAUAUAUAUUAUAUAAUGUGUGAUAUGUUUCUAUGAUGCUACAAAUCUGAAAAAAAUAGAGUAAAGAAAGGAAGGGAGAUGCUGAAAACAUAUACGAGACAAACAAAUGACAGAUGAAACAUAUAUAGCACACAAAUACAAAUACAGGUUAAAAGAGAUUAAACCACAAAUUAUUUGAUACAAAACCGCAACAAGAGCUGACCUUUUCCAGUCUCAUACAAAUGCAUGAGUGCACAUAAGACCUUUUUCUUCUGUAAAGCGUUGCUUCUUUUUUUUUUUUUUUCUGUUUUUCAUAAAGUAUUGUAAACUUUGUCACAAUGGCAUCGCCAUCAGCUACAUUUUUUUAAUAUACCACUCAACCA
rnacentral:lncRNA from 1 species